rnacentral:rRNA from 1 species
UACGUAGGGUGCAAGCGUUGUCCGGAAUUAUUGGGCGUAAAGAGCUCGUAGGCGGUCUGUCGCGUCGGAUGUGAAAAUCCAGGGCUCAACCCUGGACCUGCAUUCGAUACGGGCAGACUAGAGUUCGGUAGGGGAGACUGGAAUUCCUGGUGUAGCGGUGAAAUGCGCAGAUAUCGUAAGGAAGACCAGUGGCGAAGGCGGGUCUCUGGACAGUUCCUGACGCUGAGGCACGAAGGUCAGGGGAGCAAACGGG